GGAUGAUGGAGUCGACAUGUUCGAAAGUGAUUAAGUUCGGUCAUCUUUUUAUUUUCUAGUUUAUUUUUUUUUAAGUUAGUACUUUUAGUUAAAUUUUUAGACUAUGCUAAAACUAUUGGUUUAUGUUAUGUUUGCAUUAUCUUGUGUGUUAUGUGGUGCUUGGCAUAUAUUGUUUGCAUGAUUGAUAUUUUUUUUCUCUCUAUUUCACCCUUUUUUUUAAUGAUAAAGGGGGAGAAGAGAUUGUUACUAUGUUAUUUCCUUGUUUGUUGUUUCUGUCUAACAAAAUGCAGAUUUCAAAAGACUCCUUAAUUCAUAAAUUAAGGGGGAGCAUCAAUUAAGUGGGAGCAUUUGCUAGAGA
rnacentral:lncRNA from 1 species